rnacentral:misc_RNA from 2 species
CAGAGUUAUCCAACUCCCAAACCCAUGUGAACUUAUCUCUUUGUUGCCUCGGCGCAAGCUACCCGGGACCUCGCGCCCCGGGCGGCCCGCCGGCGGACAAACCAAAACUCUUGUUAUCUUAGUUGAUUAUCUGAGUGUCUUAUUUAAUAAGUCA